rnacentral:lncRNA from 1 species
AGAAGGGGAGGAAACUGGAAUCCAGCAGCGGCGAGCAGCAGCUGGACGGUAACAUCUGGAAAUGGAAAGCCGACCUCCCCCUCCUCCUCCACCUCCUCCUCCUCCUCCUCCUUCUCCUCCUCUCACCCAGGAUCACUUCCGAAACCACUUGGCCUUCAGCCCCUGCCUCGGCCAGAGGUUUCAUUUUUAACUGAAUAUUUACCAAAGCUGAAAGCGUGCGAGGGGGGUGGGGUGGAAAUAGCGGCUGCUUCUUUUCCAAGGAUUUAUUUAAUGGGGAUGUGUUCAAGGCAAGACCGAAUUCAGAAGGAUAUCGACGUCGUGAUCCAGAAGUCCAGAGCUGAGGACUGCCUGUUUGCAGAUUUCAGAUACUCAGACUCCACCUUUACUUUUACCUAUGUUGGCGGCCCCAGAAGGAGUGAAGGCAAUUUUGAAGGCAUGACUACGACCUGCUCUGGCCACAAGAGCUAAGAGUUGCCAGGUGUUGUGGCUCAAACACUUUGAGAUGCCAAUCCCAACACUUUGAGAGGCCAAGGCAGGAGGAUUGCUUGAGGCUAGGAGCUUGAAACCAGCCUGGGCAACACAGCGAGACCCCAUCUCUACAAAAAAUAAAAAAACAGGCCAGGCGCAGUGGCACUUAGGGAGGCCAAGGUGGGUGGAUCACCUGAGGUCAGGAGUUCGAGACCAGCCUGACCAACAUGGAGAAACCCCGUCUCUACAAAAAAUACAAAGUUUGCCAGUGUGGUGGCACAUGCCUGUUAUCCCAGCUACUCAGGAGGCUGAGGCAGGAGAAUCGCUUGAACCCGAAAGGCAGAGGUUGCAGUGAGUGGAGAUCAUGCCAUUGCACUCCAGCCUGCGCAACAAGAGUGAAACUCCAUCUCAAAUAAAUAAAUAAAAUAAAGUUUUAAAAAGUCAAAAUUA